rnacentral:rRNA from 1 species
UACGUAGGGUGCAAGCGUUAAUCGGAAUUACUGGGCGUAAAGCGUGCGCAGGCGGUGAUGUAAGACAGAUGUGAAAUCCCCGGGCUCAACCUGGGAACUGCAUUUGUGACUGCAUCGCUGGAGUGCGGCAGAGGGGGAUGGAAUUCCGCGUGUAGCAGUGAAAUGCGUAGAUAUGCGGAGGAACACCGAUGGCGAAGGCAAUCCCCUGGGCCUGCACUGACGCUCAUGCACGAAAGCGUGGGGAACAAACAGG